AUUGAACGCUGGCGGCAGGCCUAACACAUGCAAGUCGAACGGAGUGGCGGACGGGUGAGUAACGCCUAGGAACCUGCCUGGUAGCGGGGGAUAACGUCCGGAAACGGGCGUUAAUACCGCAUACUAUCAGAUUAUCCUAGGUUGGAUUAGCUAGUUGGUGGGGUAACGGCUUACCAAGGCGACGAUCCGUAACUGGUCUGAGAGGAUGAUCCGUCACACUGGAACUGAGACACGGUCCAGACUCCUACGGGAGGCAGCAGUGGGGAAUAUUGGACAAUGGGCGAAAGCCUGAUACAGCCAUGCCGCGUGUGUGAAGAAGGUCUUCGGAUUGUAAAGCACUUUAAGUUGGGAGGCGUUACCAACAGAGUAAGCACCGGCUAACUUCGUGCCAGCAGCCGCGGUAAUUC
rnacentral:rRNA from 1 species